UACAGAGGGUGCUAGCGUUGUUCGGAAUUAUUGGGCGUAAAGGGCAGGUAGGUUGUCUUGUUAGUCUACUGUGAAAUCCCUGGGCUUAACCCAGGAACUGCGGUGGAUACUGCAAGACUAGAGUACUGGAGGGGUGCGUGGAAUUCCCGGUGUAGCGGCGAAAUGCGUAGAUAUCGGGAGGAACACCAGAGGCGAAGGCGGCGCACUGGACAGUAACUGACACUCAACUGCGAAAGCGUGGGGAGCAAACAGG
rnacentral:rRNA from 1 species